CAUCACAGUCCCCGUCUCCCCCACACUCCCUGGUCCCUCCCCUGGGCUGUUUCUCCCCAGUGCCUGUCACCUGCUCACACGCCUUCUCCUCCACCUACUCGUCUCGCUUAUGCUGUCUGCCCACCAAGAUGCCGGCUCCGGGAAAGCAGGGAGUUUUGUCUGCUGGUUCCCAGCUGUGCCUGGCACCUAGUAGACAUGGAACAGAUAUUUGUUGAGUGAAUGAAUGAGUGGAUGGAUGCCUCUGUGACCCAGCCUGCUGAAGGCCAGAGGAGAGAGAGCACUGGAGAGGCAGCCGGGGCUCGCAGUCCGCGUUACUGCAGGUAGCACAGCCCAUGGCGCUGGGGACAGGGCUCGCGUGUGGAAUAAGGGCAGGUUUCUCCGGAGGGUGCAAUGCCCGCUGUGUCCAGUGGGGGUGCUCAGGGCAGCUACAGGUGCAGGGACAAGCGGCAUCACUGGCCACUCAGGGAGGCGUCCCUGGGAGACCACCUGUCCCACUCCCCACCCCUCUGGACUCUGAGAAGUGUUGACCCGAGGUCAGGCUGUAUCUGUGCCGGCAGCCAGCUCUCCAGCCUGCAGCCACGGACGGGAACUGUACACCGUUUGAUGACCACAUUACAAGGAACUGCAGGCCAUCAACACAGCCUCUGUUUCAUUCCUCCCCAGGGUCCCAGCAGCCCAGUCCACCACCUUUGCCACCUCCCAGGGGAGGAGGGGUUGGUGAGAUUUCCCCACAGCCCCUGCUUUGCAUUUCAGGACGCAAGACACACAGGCAGAGCCGACUGGCCCAGAGUCCACCUUGUCGAGCUGCAGACACCACUGUCCAAUCAGGAGCGACUGCAUCUGCCAAGGAGCCAAUCCCUGUGGAGCCAACAUCCUAAAGGGGAUGCCGUGAGUUCCAGGCUGGCACUUGGUUCUCCCCCAGCUUCCAUGAGUCACAGUGGAGCUAUUUAAACCUGGGGCUGUGAGAACAUGUCAAUGUGUCCACCCCCUUGAGACCACAGGGCUUUCAAGACAGAGCAUCCUUUCAAUAGACCGUGGAGCCAAGUACUGAAUUUGAUGAGGCGUUUUCACGAGGCCUGUGUGAAACACUUAAAAAUUGUGCAUAACAUGUGACUGGACAGGCGUCUACCAGAACACAGUGCAAGGAGCUUUUAAGCCAUGAGGUUUGCCUCUGUAGGAAGGCUUUGGGGUGCUGCUCACACGCGGUGUGACUCGGGCGGGGCAGACGGUAGACAGCAGCGGUGACACUGCAGUGACACUAUGGAGCAUGGACACUAAUACGUCCCACUGGACUUCUGCGUGAGCCCCCAGACAGGAGCUUGACCAGCGUCAACUGGACCUGCUGCAUCUGAUCCUCUCCCAGAGUGAGGUUUUGAACAGAGAUGGGCAGAACGCCACUAAUCACACCGCUGCUGAAAUAGGUCUGCCUUCUGGGUACCGGUUAUGAAAGCGGAUUUGUGUGUCACAUCCCCAGGAGAGGAGGUUAUGGUCUCACAAGAGGAAAACCCAGCAGAAUCCUAGAGUUGGCUGGAAAGUCAACAAACCGCCUAAAACUCACCCACAAAAUACCGUGACCAGGAGUAUGCAUGGAGACAGUGCCGAGCUCCGUACAGGCCGUCUGACUUCAGUGAGACCCCCUCCCCACCGAGAGAGGAAAAGUCCUAGACUCAAGCCCACAAGGAUGGGCAAAUAGGGCUGGGGACGCGGGGUGCGUAGAGCAGAGGUGUGGAUUCUGCAAGGGUGUGUGCAAAGCAGAUAGGGGAGCACAGGUGUCUGCAGGGGAAGCAUGGCCUUCUUAUUGAGCUUUUUUUGAGAUGAGGUCUCACACUGUCACCCAGAAUGGAGUGCAGUGGCACGAUCUUAGCUCACUGCAACCUGAGGCUCAGGCCAUCCUCCCAUCUCAGCCUCCCAGGUUGCUGGGACCACAGGUGCACAUCACCAUACCUGGCUUUGUAUGUGUGUGUGUGUGUGUGUGUGUAUUUUUAGUAGAGAUGGGUUUUCAGUAUGUUGCUGGGCUGGUCUAGAAUUCCAGGGCUCGAGAGAUUUACCCACCAGGCAUGGGUGGCUCACACCUGUAAUCCCAGCACUUUGGGAGGCCGAGGCAGGCAGAUCACUUGAGGUCAGGAGUUCGAGACCAUCUUGGCCAACAUAGUGAAACCCCAUUGUAAAAAAUACAAAAAUUAGCCGGGCAUGGUGGCAGGUGCCUGCAAUCCCAGCUACUCGAGAGGCUGAGGCAGGAGAAUUGCUUGAACCUGGGAGGCGGAGGUUGCAGUGAGCCAAGAUAGCGCCUCUGCACUGCAGCCUGGGCGUCAGAGCAAGACUGUCUCAAAAAAAAAAAAAAAAAAAAAACUUGGCCUCCCAAAGUGCUGGGAUUACAGGCAUGAGCCACCACACCCAGCCAGGCGUGACCUAAAAGGCUGUGUUCCUGAAGGAGAUGUUGUCCUGGAGCGGGGUUCAGCAAAAAAAAAUUUUUUUUGAGACAAGAUCUCAGUCAGUUGCCUAGGCGGGAAUGCAAUAGUGUGAUCAUAGGCGACUGCAGCCUUGACCUGCCAGGCUCAAGCAGUCUUCCCACCUGAGCCUUGCAAGUAGUUGGUACUACAGGCACACACCCAACUAAUUUUUUUUGUAAUUUUGUAGAAAAGGUGUCUCACUGUGUUGCCCAGGCUGGUUUUGAACUCAGCUCAAGCAAUCCUCCCACCACAGCCUCCCAAUCCCAAAGUGCUGGGAUUACAAGCAUGAGCCACUGCGCCCAGCCAGGCAAAUGUUUUCAUAGAGGACCAGAUAGUCGAUGUUUUCAGCUUGCAGGAAAUUCAGUCUCUAUUGCAACUACUCAGGUCUGCCAUAGUAGCGUGAAAGCAGCCCCAGGCAAUAUGUAAAUAGGUGCUGUGUACUGAAUGUUUCUGUCCCCCAAGACUGAUGGCCCUAUUCCUCAAUGUGAUGGUAUUAAGAGGUGGGGCUCUGGAGGUGAUAAGGUUUAGAUAUGCUCAGGUCUCACUCUGUUGCCCAGGCUGGAGUGCAGUGGCAUGAUCACGGCUCACUGCAGCCCUGACCUAUGGGGCUCAAGGGAUCCUUCCACCUCAGCCUCCCAAUUAGCUGGGAUCAGAGAUGUGCACCACCCAGCCUGGCUAAUUUUUUUUUUUUUUUAAUAGAGAUGAGGCCUUACUCUGCAGCCCAGGCUGGUCUCAAACUCCUGGGCUCAAGCCAUCCUCCCGCCUCAGUCUCCCAAAGGGUUGGGAUUACAGGCGUGAGCCACUGCACCCGGCCAGGGCUGGCAGAUUUUUGGAAAAGGUGGACCCAUACAUAAUUCUAGGCAAGGACACACAAGGAAGAGCAGCCCCAGACUAAAUGGAUAAAUGGAGCAAAACUCCCUGGGGCACAGCCAACCAAGGCGAGGGCCUCUCUUGGAGCCUCAGUUUUCUCAUCUGCAGAAUGGGGGGCCUGGGACCACAAUUUCUCUGUUGGAGUUAAUGGUAAAUGACUAUUAUAUUGGGCGCAAAUGUGCCCUGGGAGGUCUGAGUAGGAGCUUUGGGGGCACUGUCUCUGAUUCCUUCAACCUCAGCGUCAAAGGGAAUCUGUACCCUGUCGGAGCCACCUGAGCUGCUUGCAUGAGAUGGGAAGAAGUCAGGGCACCCAGGUGAGAGAAGGAAAUAAAUGAAUGGCUUAAGCCAAGAAACCACAAGGAAAGGUCAGGACUGAGCCCAGGAGUCAAGGACAGAGACACAAAAUAAUAGAACACACUUUCUGAUUUGACCUGGUGUGGGGACAACCUGUUAUGGUUACCCACAUGUUCUGGUUGACGGAGCUGGCACCUGAUUUGCAUAGGGAGGGCAUAACGAUAUGGGAGAUGGAGUUACUGACACCCAAUGCCUCACUUCUCCCAGCAUCCAUGUCCUUUGCUGUGUGACUUUGCUGCCUCUCCCAACACACACACACACACCCCUACACAUACAAACAUACCUAUUCACAUACAUACACACACCUACACAUAUAUACACACACCUACACACACAUACACACACAUACCUACACACAUAUACUUACACAUACACACAUAAACACACACCUACACACCUACACACAUAUACACACAUACACACACAUCUACACACACAUAAACAUACACACACAUAAACAUACACAUACCUACACACAUACACACACACAAACACACAUACACACACCCCUAUACACAUACAUACAUAU
rnacentral:lncRNA from 1 species